CCUACGGGAGGCUGCAGUAGGGAAUCUUCCACAAUGGGCGAAAGCCUGAUGGAGCAACGCCGCGUGGGUGAAGAAGGUCUUCGGAUCGUAAAACCCUGUUGUUAGAGAAGAAAGUGCGUGAGAGUAACUGUUCACGUUUCGACGGUAUCUAACCAGAAAGCCACGGCUAACUACGUGCCAGCAGCCGCUGUAAGAAGUAGGUGGCAAGCGUUGUCCGGUUUUAUUUGGCGUAAAGGGGACGCAGGCGGUCUUUUAAGUCUGAUGUGAAAGCCUUCGGCUUAACCGGAGUAGUGCAUUGGAAACUGGGAGACUUGGGUGCAGAAGAGGAGAGUGGAACGCCAUGUGUAGCGGUGAAAUGCGUAGAUAUAUGGAAGAACACCAGUGGCGAAGGCGGCUCUCUGGUCUGUAACUGACGCUGAGGUUCGAAAGCGUGGGUAGCAAACAGGAUUAGAUACCCGUGUAGUC
rnacentral:rRNA from 1 species